UUUCGUUCCGGUUUUUUGGUUUUCCGGUUUUCUGAUUUCCGGAUAACGGGUUCUGUACUGUAUUACGUUCACUGUAUAGAUUUUAAAAGUAAUCCACUCACUUAAAAGUGAGUUGGACCUUUCAUCAACUGAAUUUCUAUAAUCCACAUUCAAUUAUAGCCCAUCAUCUUGCAUCGGCUUGCACACAAUCUAAGGCAAUUGGUAUGUGUGAUGCCUAUUUCAAGAGAUACUUUUACAAUAUGGAAAGUGGUGAAUGUGAAGAAUUCGUCUACGGAGGUUGUCAAGGCAAUUCAAAUAAUUUCAACAGUUUGGAUGAUUGUGAAGCAGUCUGCAAAGCUUAAAAGAGCUCUUCAGAAUUAAGAAGCAUUGGAUCUUAA